GGCUCUGAGGACCUUCCAGCCAUGAGGCUGCUCAGCACACCGGGUGGACUCUACUGAUCUGGCUAGCUAGGAGACAAUCGGCUUCCUCCCUCACCAGGGCUCCAUGGGUGUCCCUCCUGAAGCUGUGUGCUUGAUGGAGGAGAAAGGCCUUCUCUGAGAGAGGACAGAUCUUCCACCGAGGGUCAUGCAGGUAGCUGCACUCCCCUGUUGGAACCUUCAAACAAGCUCUGAAGGGUGGAAACCAGCUGGUUAAUAACAUUAUGGUAAUAACAGUAAAGAUUUUUUGGGGUGUGGAGGCUU
rfam:Mus musculus chromosome 8, GRC primary reference assembly.